GAAAGAUUGUGGCAUGAGCGGCGGUAAUACUGGUGGUGGGAGGGGUGAGAGGAAUGAGGGGGGGUGAAGAGUGUGUAGGGGGCUCAUUAGGUGAAAAGUGGAAUGCCCGGGGGGAGACGUGUAAGUGCAUGUGAGGAUGGGGGUGCUAGAAUAUGUGAGAGGGAAGGAGAAGUCCAGGUGUAGCGGGUAAAUGCGUAGAGAUCUGGAGGAAUACCGAUGGCGAAGGCAGCUUCCUGGCAUAAUAUUGACACUGAGAUUCGAAAGCGUGGGUAGCAAACAGGAUUAGAUACCCUAGUAGUC
rnacentral:rRNA from 1 species